rnacentral:lncRNA from 1 species
GGAAAACUUAUGUGGAAAUUUAUUAAAAUAAGAUAAAUAAAAAAUGAAAUUGAAAAAAUAAAUAUCAUUCGAAUUUUGACCUUACAACAAUCUUGGAUUAUUCUCAUUUAUAGAUGAAGAAAAUGAGGCUGACAGAAAUGAAGUCCGUUGCCCACAGUUAUGCAGCUAGUAAGAAUGUGAAGCCAGAUUUGGAAUUUAGUUCUUCCUGACUCAAGUCCAAGAGCUUGAUCUACUGCAUCAUCUACAAGCACAAAUUGUUCACAGACUGGGUACUAAGAACUUCUGGUCUACUUUGUCUUAUAGAAAGGAGCAGAGACACAUAUCAACUGGCUACCAAGAGAUACAGAGAGUCAAUCAGAAAGUACAAAGGACGACCCAGAAAUAGAACCACUCUUCAGAGAAAGAAGUAAGUCACAAAGGAUGCGAAGAGUAUGGUAGCCAUCGACCACUCCUGUGGCAUUCCCAAUCACUCCAAGUAGCUCAUUACAGCCCCUUUAAAACUGGAG